rnacentral:rRNA from 1 species
UACGUAGGGGGCGAGCGUUGUCCGGAUUUAUUGGGCGUAAAGAGCUCGUAGGCGGUUCGAUAAGUCGGAUGUGAAAUCUCCACGCUCAACGUGGAGAGGCCAUUCGAUACUGUCGUGACUCGAGUCCGGUAGGGGAGUGUGGAAUUCCCGGUGUAGCGGUGAAGUGCGCAGAGAUCGGGAGGAACACCCGUAGCGAAGGCGGCACUCUGGGACGGUACUGACGCUGAGACGCGAAAGCGUGGGGAGCGAACAGG